AGCCAAGGGAGUAGCAGAGAAAGUUGGUGUGUGAGGGUGCACGCGUGUGCUUUGAAGGCGGGUUAGGUGUUCUGAGGCGUCGGCAGCUCGCAGGCCCGUCGCCCUGGCUCCUUUUUCCCCCGCUUACCUGGCUCUGGCAGAAGCCGCGGCAGCGACGCCUGGGUGGAAGGCGGCGGCGAUUCCGGACAGGACGCGGCCGGAGUGCAGCAGGGCCAUGGUGGGCGGCGACAGGGCAGUGGGUAGCUGGAGGACGGAGCGGAGAUGCCAGCGGGCACGGACACGGAGGCGCAGGGUCCUGCUGAAGUUUCGGAGGGCUCAUCUUCAACAAGACCAUAUCCAAGCAGCAGUUCAAAGGCAUGGACAUAUUUAACCCAUCGUAUGUGAUCAGUUUGGAGGAGAAUUGACAUCUUAACGACAUUGAGUCUUCUGACCCGUGACCAAGCGAUCAGUCUUUUUAAGAGUGGUGCAUGGAACUGAUUCUGACUUUGAAGCUUCUAAGACCAUGGGAUUUUCUGAAGUCAAAGGACGACUGAUUUGGAG